GUCGGAGGAGUGAAGGGCCACCAAGGCCUGGCCGCCAGGAGCUUCCGGUAGGGCCAGGCAGCGGCCAGGGUGGCCCCGACGAUGAGGGUCAGUCGCUGGGGUCACACGAAGCCAGGCUUCAUGGAGGAGCGACGGCAAUUGGGGCAGCUCCGGGGCCCGCUCUUCUGCAGGCACCUUGGGAGGGAAAGGCUUUGUCCUCUGGCUCUCCUUCUCCCCCUCUCCCACCACCCUCUCUCUGACCCCCACCCCCUGAUCCUGGGGAGGCUUCCAUGGGCAGAGCACUGGGCAGGGAGGCAGGAGGGAGCCAGUCUUCUGCCACCACCGCCCAUAGGGCUCUGCCCCUGCGCUUGUGAAUCAGGUGCGGGGAGGGGUGCACUGCAGGGCCUCUCAGACUCCUCUUUGGGGCCCGUCAUCAUCAACAUCAUCAUCAUGGUCACCUAUGGGGUGCUGGGCGGGUCCAGGGACUAUUCUAGUGGGAGCUCUUAGGACAGACAGCCCGGGGGCCCGGGCUGGGAGCCCCCACCUGAGGUGGAAGACAUGCGAGCAGGGCAGGGCCUGCAGCCGGCUGUUCCGCUCGCCGAUGGACUCGCCGCACAGGCCGCAGUACAGCUCCGUCUCCUCCACGCACUCGUGGAAGCGCACCACGUGGGCGCGCAGCUCGCGCUGCAGGCCCUUGCUGCGGCAGAUGCGCUCGCUCAGGCAGUGCAGCUUCAGCUGGCUCAGCUGGGGACGGACACAGGAGUCAGGGCCAGCCAGCAGCGGCCGGCCCCCUCCUUAGCCAGCCUGCCCCGGGCCCUUUGGAGAUCCACGUUUUGAAACCGUUUUAGUGGCCAACCUGGGUACGUGUAUUCAGCAUGGUUCACGUGCUUCCUGAGCGUUGAUGGUCUCACCCACAACAGAACAGGUUACCAGCCUCGCAGGUUAACCCCCCUGAGCUGCUAUCCCCCAAAUCAGGUGUCUGUUGGGCUCUUCAACUGGGUACCGAGCCCCAGAGAAUUCAUUGCUCCUCCUCUAGAAGAUUCCGAGGGCCACUGGGCCUGCUUGCCACAUUCUUAGAGUUCAGAGGCAAGUAUUGAAUUGGGAGAGGGAUUGGGGUUUGGAAUUGGGACAGACUGGCUCCUGUAAGAACCCUGUGUGUGGGAGGCAGCCACCACCGAGCCUCUCCCACUCCACUUUCAAGGCCCAGAGAAACACCCGGGCCCUGCGGUGGUGGGGACAGUUCCCGGAGGACUGAGCAGAGCCCAGGGCAUGGAAGAGUGCCCUCCCCCACUCCCCCCCAGACCCAGAAGAGGGACUCCGGUCUGACCUUGUUCCCCACCUCCUCGGCCAGGUCCUGGGCUCUCUCGAUGGCCUCCAGAGCCUGAAAGUUUACCCAGCAAUAAAAAGGGAUAUGGAGUCAGCAGCUGCGUCAAAACCCUUCAAACCUAGUGUCCCCCCGGCUCCGGUGGAUGUCGGCAAAGCAGAGCAGGCAGAGCGCCUGCAGUGGACGGUCCCCGUGCUGCAGGGCGAUCUUCAUCGACUCCUGGGCAGGAGGGGACCCUCAGCCUGUGUGGUGCCCUCCACUGCCUACCCCUUCCCCCCGCCCUACUGCAGCAGCCCAGCACCAUCCUCAGAGUCCACCGCAGUCCUGAGGCUUCGUGCACUAACUGCGGAGACCUCCAGCGUCCAGCAAAGUGGCCGCUGUCUCUUGACAGGCAGAAGCAGAGGCUCAGAGAAGAGAGCGGGAUACCAGCUCAGAAAGGACCAAGCUGGAAGCCCAGAGGCUGGCUGUGGGAAGUGAUCCUUGGGCAUGCAGAGAUGGCAGGGCAAAGGUGUGGACCCUCUGAAGGCCAGGUUCUUUGGCCGGUCCAUCCGUGAUUUAUAAGAUCCUGGCACCACACUUGACACCAGCAUUGGCUGAAUGGACAACCGAACAA